GAUGAACGCUAGCGGCAGGCUUAAUACAUGCAAGUCGAGGGGCAGCGCGGCUGUAGCAAUACAGUUGGCGGCGACCGGCAAACGGGUGCGGAACACGUACGCAACUUACCCAGAACUGGGGCAUAGCCCUCCGAAAGGAGGAUUAAUACCCCAUAAGAUAGUAGAGUGGCAUCACUCAGCUAUUAAAACUCCGGUGGUUUUGGAUGGGCGUGCGGCCCAUUAGAUAGUUGGUGAGGUAACGGCUCACCAAGUCUGCGAUGGGUAACUGGUGUGAGAGCACGACCAGUCACACGGGCACUGAGACACGGGCCCGACUCCUACGGGGGGCAGCAGUAAGGAAUAUUGGUCAAUGGAGGCAACUCUGAACCAGCCAUGCCGCGUGAAGGAUGAAGGCCCUCUGGGUUGUAAACUUCUUUUGUAAGGGAAGAAAUACAGACAUUCUUGUUUGUUUGACGGUACCUUAAGAAUAAGCACCGGCUAACUCCGUGCCAGCCGCCGCCGUAAUAC
rnacentral:rRNA from 1 species